GCCUGAGUGGCUCAGUCGGUUAAGCAUCUGACUUCGGCUCAGAUAUGAUCUCAUGGUCUGUGAGUUGGAGCCCCGCAUCGGGCU
rnacentral:tRNA from 1 species